CUUUUUUCACUUGCCAUGGAUACACGCAUGGAUGAGCCGCUGGAGGACAUGUAGCUGCUGCGGGAGGAGUAGGAUGAAGCCAUGUUAACCGAGACUUUCUGUCUGUGUCUGUCUGACAGGCUGCCAAAAUUCUAAGUAAACAAUUUUAGAAAAACAUCCUGUGAAGAGAAUCCGGUAGCACAGCAAUCAUCAUGAAGAGAGAUGCUAUAAACAUCACACAGCAAGUCAGGUUUGGAGUGACAUGAGGGUGAGUAAAUAAUGAUUUUUGUAUGAACUAUACCUUUCAGUGCAAAUCUACUCAUUUGACGUUGGUAGCCUGACAACUUCAUGGAGUAACGAUUCUUUGUUUCAGACAGUGUGGCCUCCAUAGAUGUUGUUGACCUAGAGUAUAAUGUUUGUCUAGUAUGUGUGAUUUUAAAACUAUUUGACAGAGUGAAGACAGUCAGCUUUAUUUGAGAAGCAGUGAUUUGAAAACAUUAUACUGUUUUUAAUAGGAUGCAAAUUAUUUCCUACCUGGAUUUAAUUGAGGAUGUUGUUGGAUUAGGAUUGGAUAUGUUUAAUUAUAUGCAUGAAAAUGAAAAUUAUCCCAUGAUUUACUCACCCUCAAGCCAUCCUAGG